rnacentral:rRNA from 1 species
AUUGAACGCUGGCGGCAGGCCUAACACAUGCAAGUCGAACGGAGUGGCGGACGGGUGAGUAAUGUCUGGGAAACUGCCUGAUGGAGGGGGAUAACUACUGGAAACGGUAGCUAAUACCGCAUACUAUCAGAUGAGCCUAGGUCGGAUUAGCUAGUUGGUGGGGUAAAGGCCUACCAAGGCGACGAUCCGUAACUGGUCUGAGAGGAUGAUCAGUGACACUGGAACUGAGAUAAGGCCCAGAGUCCUACGGGAGGCAGCAGUGGGGGAUAUUGCACAAUGGGCGAAAGCCUGAUCCAGCCAUGCCGCGUGUGUGAAGAAGGUCUUCGGAUUGGAAAGCACUUUAAGUUGGGAGGCGUUACCAACAGAAUAAGCACCGGCUAACUUCGUGCCAGCAGCCGCGGUAAUAC